CCAGCCCGCUCAUUCAAUUUCUUAAGGAGACUUGGGUCCUGGGCAAGAGUUGGAGCUGCCGUGGGUGAGUCGCGGCGAUUGCCUGCCAAGCAUGCUGUGGUCGGAUCUGCCCAGCCGAGGAGCAGAGACAUUGGCCGGAUGGAAAAUCCAUAAAAGAAAGCUCUUCUGAAAAGCUGAGACAGACGAGAACUUCCGCAGACUCAGAUGUAUUUGGGCUGCCUGACCGCCUUGGGUGAUUGCUAUUAAUUAACAGACUUUGUGGGGAGAAGGGAGCUUGCCUUCUGAGCUCUGAACCAAAGAUCUGGGAAAAGUAAGUAAUUCUUAAUUCGUAGUUAAAAAUUCUGUUACACUUCUUUCAGAAAGAUACCAAUGGGGCUA
rnacentral:lncRNA from 1 species